rnacentral:misc_RNA from 1 species
AACUUUUAGCAAUGGAUCACUUGGCUCUCGCAUCGAUGAAGAACGCAGCGAAAAGCGAUACGUAAUGUGAAUUGCAGAAAUCAGUGAAUCAUCGAAUCUUUGAACGCAUAUUGCGCUCUCUGGUAUUCCGGAGAGCAUGCUUGUUUGAGUAUCAGUAAACACCUCAAAUCCCUCUACUUGUUGGAGGAGUUUGGACUUGAGCAAUCCCAACUUUUCGAAAGAGAAGGCGGGUUGCUUGAAAUGCAGGUGCAGCUAGAUUCUUUCUUCUGAGCUAUAAGCAUACUUAUUUAAUCCCGUCAAACGGAUUAUUACUUUUGCUGCAGCUAACAUAAAGGUUGAAGAGUCGCUAUGGCUGACUGAUGCAGGAUUUAACAUAUCGCGCAAGCGAUCUGUAAACUCGAUCUCAAAUCAAGCAAGACUACCCGCUGAACUUAAGCAUAUCAAUAAGCGGAGGCU